ACUCAAAGGAAUUGACGGGGGCCCGCACAAGCGGCGGAGCAUGCGGCUUAAUUCGAUGCAACGCGAAGAACCUUACCUGGGCUUGACAUAUGCCGAAAACUCGUAGAGAUACGGGGUCCUUCGGGGCGGUAUACAGGUGGUGCAUGGUUGUCGUCAGCUCGUGUCGUGAGAUGUUGGGUUAAGUCCCGCAACGAGCGCAACCCUUGUCCUAUAUUGCCAGCGGGUUAUGCCGGGGACUUAUGGGAGACUGCCGGGGUCAACUCGGAGGAAGGUGGGGAUGACGUCAAAUCAUCAUGCCCUUUAUGUCCAGGGCUGCACGCAUGCUACAAUGGCCGGUACAAACAGUUGCGAUGCCGUGAGGUGGAGCGAAUCUGAAAAAGCCGGUCUCAGUUCGGAUCGAAGUCUGCAACUCGACUUCGUGAAGUUGGAGUCGCUAGUAAUCGCAGAUCAGCAACGCUGCGGUGAAUACGUUCCCGGGCCUUGCACACACCGCCCGU
rnacentral:rRNA from 1 species